GCCCCCGUAGCUCAGUUGGACAGAGCAUCGGCCUUCUAAGCCGAGGGUCAUAGGUUCGAGUCCUAUCGGGGGUG
rnacentral:tRNA from 1 species